rnacentral:rRNA from 1 species
UACGAAGGGGGCUAGCGUUGCUCGGAAUGACUGGGCGUAAAGGGCGCGUAGGCGGUUUGUACAGUCAGAUGUGAAAUUCCCGGGCUUAACCUGGGGGCUGCAUCUGAUACGUAUGGACUUGAGUGGGGAAGAGGGUCGUGGAAUUCCAGGUGUAGCGGUGAAAUGCGUAGAUAUCUGGAGGAACACCGGUGGCGAAGGCGGCAUCCUGGACCGGCACUGACGCUGAGGAGCGAAAGCCAGGGGAGCAAACGGG